ACUUACGGCCAUACCAUCCUGAAUACGCCCGAUCUCGUCUGAUCUCGGAAGCUAAGCAGGGUCGGGCCUGGUUAGUACUUGGAUGGGAGGCCAACUGGGAAUACCAGGUGCUGUAAGUG
rnacentral:rRNA from 1 species